rnacentral:rRNA from 1 species
GAUGAACGCUGGCGGCGUGCCUAACACAUGCAAGUCGAGCGAAGCGGGGACGGGUGAGUAAAACGUGGAUAACCUCCUAUAAGACUGGGAUAACUUCGGGAAACCGGUGCUAAACCGGCUACUGUUACAUUAAUCCGCGCUGCAUUAGCUAGUUGGUGAGGUAACGGCUUACCAAGGCAACGACGACUAGCCGACCUGAGAGGAUGACCUGACACACUGGAACUGAGACACGGUCCAGAAUCCUGCGGGAGGCAGCAGUAGGGAAUCUUCCGCAAUGGGCGAAAGCCUGACGGAGCAACGCCGCGUGAGUGAUGAAGGUCUUCGGGUCGUAAAACUCUGUAAUUAGGGAGGCGGUACCUGAUGAAAAAGCAACGGCUAACUACGUGCCAGCAGCCGCGGUAAUUC